GAUGAACGCUAGCUACAGGCUUAACACAUGCAAGUCGAGGGGUAACGAGAGGAAAGCUUGCUUUCCUUGUCGACGACCGGCGCACGGGUGAGUAACGCGUAUCCAACCUGCCCCCAACUAAGGAAUAACCUUGCGAAAGUAAGACUAAUACCUUAUAAUUUCCUCAGAUGUCAUCUGACGAGGAAUAAAGAUUUAUCGGUUGUGGAUGGGGAUGCGUCUGAUUAGCUUGUUGGCGGGGUAACGGCCCACCAAGGCAACGAUCAGUAGGUGUUCUGAGAGGAAGGUCCCCCACAUUGGGACUGAGACACGGUCCAAACUCCUACGGGAGGCAGCAGUGAGGAAUAUUGGUCAAUGGGCGAAAGCCUGAACCAGCCAAGUAGCGUGCAGGAUGACGGCCCUAUGGGUUGUAAACUGCUUUUAUACAGGAAUAAAGUUAGCCACGUGUGGUUAUUUGUAGGUACUGUAUGAAUAAGGACCGGCUAAUUCCGUGCCAGCCGCCGCUGUAA
rnacentral:rRNA from 1 species